rnacentral:rRNA from 1 species
CCUACGGGAGGCAGCAGUGGGGAAUAUUGCACAAUGGGGGAAACCCUGAUGCAGCGACGCCGCGUGAGUGAAGAAGGAAUUCGGUAUGUAAAGCUCUAUCAGCAGGGAAGAAAAUGACGGUACCUGAGUAAGAAGCCCCGGCUAACUACGUGCCAGCAGCCGCGGUAAUACGUAGGGGGCAAGCGUUAUCCGGAUUUACUGGGUGGAAAGGGAGCGGAGACGGCAGUGCAAGUCUGGAGUGAAAGCCGGGGGCUCAACCCCGGGACUGCUCUGGAAACUGUAUGGCUGGAGUGCAGGAGAGGGAGGUGGAAUUCCUAGUGUAGCGGUGAAAUGCGUAGAUAUUAGGAGGAACACCAGUGGCGAAGGCGGCCUACUGGACUGUAACUGACGUUGAGGCGCGAAAGCGUGGGGAGCAAACAGGAUUAGAUACCCCUGUAGUC